rnacentral:rRNA from 1 species
CCUACGGGAGGCAGCAGUGGGGAAUAUUGCGCAAUGGGCGAAAGCCUGACGCAGCGACGCCGCGUGAGGGAUGACGGCCUUCGGGUUGUAAACCUCUUUCAGCUGGGACGAAGCGAAAGUGACGGUACCUGCAGAAGAAGCACCGGCCAACUACGUGCCAGCAGCCGCGGUAAU